rnacentral:ncRNA from 2 species
CGUAACCACAAGGGGAGCUUAAUGCUGAGAGUGAACUUUUGUUCUGACCCUUUGAACCUGUUAGAUAAUUCUAGCGCAGGGAUGUGGAUGGAUGGGUGA